UGGAGGACAAGCUAUCCACCAAUAAGUCUUCUUUCUGGAGUCUACAGAAUGGGAGCCUGUCAGAUGCUCCACCCAUCGUCAUUAGUUGCCCAAAACCGCAAAGAAAAAAAACAAGAAACCAAGAAAG